rnacentral:rRNA from 1 species
GACUGAACGCUAGCGGCAGGCCUAACACAUGCAAGUCGAGGGGUAACGAUGUCUUCGGACAGGCGACGACCGGCGCACGGGUGAGUAUCGCGUUUGUAACCUACCUUUAACUGGAGAAUAGCCCGAAGAAAUUCGGAUUAAUACUCCAUAAUACUAUGAUCUGGCAUCUUUUUAUAGUUAAAGCUCCGGCGGUUAAAGAUGGGCAUGCGUAACAUUAGAUAGUUGGUGAGGUAACGGCUCACCAAGUCUACGAUGUUUAGGGGGUCUGAGAGGAUGGUCCCCCACACUGGUACUGAGACACGGACCAGACUCCUACGGGAGGCAGCAGUGAGGAAUACUGGUCAAUGGGCGCAAGCCUGAACCAGCCAUGCCGCGUGAAGGAUGACAGCGCUACGCGUUGUAAACUUCUUUUGUACAGGAAGAAACGCUUCUACGUGUAGAAGUUUGACGGUACUGUACGAAUAAGCAUCGGCUAACUCCGUGCCAGCAGCCGCGGUAAUACGGAGGAUGCAAGCGUUAUCCGGAUUUAUUGGGUUUAAAGGGUACGUAGGCGGAAACUUAAGUCAGUAGUGAAAUCCUGCAGCUUAACUGUAGAACUGUUAUUGAUACUGGGUUUCUUGAAUAUAGUUGAGGUAGGCGGAAUGUGUAAUGUAGCGGUGAAAUGCUUAGAUAUUACACAGAACACCGAUUGCGAAGGCAGCUUACUAAGCUAUGAUUGACGCUGAGGUACGAAAGCGUGGGGAGCGAACAGGAUUAGAUACCCUGGUAGUCCACGCCGUAAACGAUGAUCACUCGUUGUU